rnacentral:rRNA from 1 species
UCACUUGUUGGUGAGGUAAUGGCUCACCAAGGCGACGACGGGUAGCCGGCCUGAGAGGGCGACCGGCCACACUGGGACUGAGACACGGCCCAGACUCCUACGGGAGGCAGCAGUGGGGAAUAUUGCACAAUGGGCGAAAGCCUGAUGCAGCGACGCCGCGUGAGGGAUGACGGCCUUCGGGUUGUAAACCUCUUUCAGCAGGGAAGAAGCGAAAGUGACGGUACCUGCAGAAGAAGCGCCGGCUAACUACGUGCCAGCAGCCGCGGUAAUACGUAGGGCGCAAGCGUUGUCCGGAAUUAUUGGGCGUAAAGAGCUCGUAGGCGGCUUGUCGCGUCGGUUGUGAAAGCCCGGGGCUUAACCCCGGGUCUGCAGUCGAUACGGGCAGGCUAGAGUUCGGUAGGGGAGAUCGGAAUUCCUGGUGUAGCGGUGAAAUGCGCAGAUAUCAGGAGGAACACCGGUGGCGAAGGCGGAUCUCUGGGCCGAUACUGACGCUGAUGAGCGAAAGCGUGGGGAGCGAACA